AAUAAGUACAGUUUUAUAUUGUUUAUAUCCAACGUUUGACCGUUCGUCUUAUUUAAAAUUUUUUUAUGAUUAGUAUUUUUAUUGUUAUUAGAUGAUAAAACGAUGAAUAAUACUUUAUGUAUGACAAUUUUUUAAAAAAGUUUUCAAAAAUUUUUCAAAUAAGACAAACAGUUAAAAGUUAGACACGGAUACCCACGACUACACUUAUU
rfam:Oryza glaberrima chromosome 9 Oglab09_0093_36, whole genome shotgun sequence.